ACGGGGGGAGCAAACGUUGUUCGGAAUCACUGGGCGUAAAGGGAGCGUAGGCGGCCAUGUAAGUGAGGUGUUAAAUCCCCCGGCUCAACCGGGGACCUGCACCUCAUACUGCACGGCUUGAGUACAUCAGAGGAGACUGGAAUUCCCGGUGUAGCGGUGAAAUGCGUAGAUAUCGGGAGGAACAUCUGUGGCGAAGGCGACACCCUGGACCAGCACUGACACUGAGGCACGAAAGCGUGGGGAGCAAACAGGA
rnacentral:rRNA from 1 species